rnacentral:rRNA from 1 species
UACGAGAGGCGCAAACGUUAUUCGGAAUUACUGGGCUUAAAGAGUUCGUAGGCGGCGCAGAAAGUAGGGUGUGAAAGCCCUCGGCUUAACCGAGGAAUUGCGCUCUAAACUACUGUGCUUGAGGGACCUAGAGGUGAGCGGAACUGAUGGUGGAGCGGUGAAAUGCGUUGAUAUCAUCAGGAACACCGGAGGCGAAGGGCGGCUCACUGGGGGUCUUCUGACGCUGAGGAGGCGAAAAGCUAGGGGAGCAAACGGG